GCCGCAAUGGCGGAAUUGGCAGACGCGCAGUGUUCAGGUCGCUGUAGGGUUUUCCCUGUGCAGGUUCGACUCCUGUUUGCGGCA
rfam:Lactobacillus camelliae DSM 22697 = JCM 13995 strain DSM 22697 NODE_105, whole genome shotgun sequence.